GCUCAGGAUGAACGCUGGCGAGAUGCCUUACACAUGCAAGUCGUACGAGAAUUUUUAAUUCAAGUGGCGGACGGGUGAGUAACACGUAAGAAUUUGCCUUUAGGAGGGGGACAACAACUGGAAACGGUUGCUAAUACCCCAUAUGCUUUUUAUUCUUUGGAGUGAAAUAGUGAAACGGAUUUUUCCGCCUAGAGAGAAGCUUGCGGCUGAUUAGCUUGUUGGUAAGGUAAUGGCUUACCAAGGCGACGAUCAGUAUCUGGUUUGAGAGGACGAUCAGACACACUGGAACUGAGACACGGUCCAGACUCCUACGGGAGGCAGCAGUGGGGAAUUUUCCGCAAUGGGCGAAAGCCUGACGGAGCAAUCUCGCGUGAGGGAUGACUGCCUAUGGGUUGUAAACCUCUUUUUUCAGGGAGGGACAAAAUGACGUGUACCUGAAGAAUAAGCAUCGGCUAACUCCGUGCCAGCAGCCGCGGUAAGACGGAGGAUGCAAGUGUUAUCCGGAAUCACUGGGCGUAAAGCGUCUGUAGGUGGUUUAAUAAGUCAACUGUUAAAUCUUGAAGCUCAACUUCAAAAUCGCAGUCGAAACUAUUAGACUAGAGUAUAGUAGGGGUAAAGGGAAUUUCCAGUGGAGCGGUGAAAUGCGUAGAGAUUGGAAAGAACACCGAUGGCGAAGGCACUUUACUGGGCUAUUACUGACACUCAGAGACGAAAGCUAGGGUAGCAAAUGGGAUUAGAUACCCCAGUAGUCCUAGCCGUAAACAAUGGAUACUAGAUGUUGAACAGAUCGACCUGUGCAGUAUUAAAGCUAACGCGUUAAGUAUCCCGCCUGGGAAGUAUGCUCGCAAGAGUGAAACUCAAAU
rnacentral:rRNA from 1 species